rnacentral:rRNA from 1 species
CCCUAGUAACGGCGAGUGAAGCGGCAACAGCUCAAAUUUGAAAUCUGGCCCUAGGCCCGAAUUGUAAUUUGUAGAGGAUGCUUUUGGUGCGGUGCCUUCUGAGUUCCCUGGAACGGGACGCCAAAGAGGGUGAGAGCCCCGUAUAGUCGGACACCAAGCCUCUGUAAAGCUCCUUCGACGAGUCGAGUAGUUUGGGAAUGCUGCUCAAAAUGGGAGGUAAAUCUCUUCUAAAGCUAAAUACCGGCUAGAGACCGAUAGCGCACAAGUAGAGUGAUCGAAAGAUGAAAAGCACUUUGAAAAGAGGGUUAAACAGCACGUGAAAUUGUUGAAAGGGAAGCGCUUGUGACCAGACUUGCGCCCGGUUGAUCAUCCAGCGUUCUCGCUGGUGCACUCUGCCGGGCUCAGGCCAGCAUCGGUUCUCGCGGGGGGAUAAAAGCUUCGGGAAUGUAGCUCCCUCGGGAGUGUUAUAGCCCGCUGCAGAAUACCCUCGCGGGGACCGAGGUUCGCGCUCCGCAAGGAUGCUGGCGUAAUGGUCAUCAGCGACCCGUCUUGAAACACGGACCAAGGAGUCAAGCAUUAGGGCGAGUGUUUGGGUGUAAAACCCGCACGCGUAAUGAAAGUGAAUGUAGGUGAGAGCUUCGGCGCAUCAUCGACCGAUCCUGAUGUAUUCGGAUGGAUUUGAGUAAGAGCCUUACCGCUUGGACCCGAAAGAUGGUGAACUAUGCAUGAAUAGGGUGAAGCCAGAGGAAACUCUGGUGGAGGCUCGCAGCGGUUCUGACGUGCAAAUCGAUCGUCAAAUUUGUGCAUGGGGGCGAAAGACUAAUCGAACCAUUAAAAGUGAAAAAAUAGGUAAUCCAGUAAAGCUACUA